UACGUAGGGUGCAAGCGUUAAUCGGAAUUACUGGGCGUAAAGCGUGCGCAGGCGGUUAUGUAAGACAGAUGUGAAAUGCCCGGGCUCAACCUGGGAAUGGCAGUGGAUACUGGCAAGCUAGAGUGCGGUAGAGGGUAGUGGAAUUCCCGGUGUAGCAGUGAAAUGCGUAGAGAUCGGGAGGAACACCAGUGGCGAAGGCGGCUACCUGGACCAGCACUGACACUGAAGCACGAAAGCGUGGGGAGCAAACAGG
rnacentral:rRNA from 1 species